UUGACCUCGGAUCAGGUAAGAGCACGAUCC
rnacentral:rRNA from 1 species